rnacentral:rRNA from 1 species
CUACGUGCCAGCAGCCGCGGUAAUACGGAGGGUGCGAGCGUUAAUCGGAAUAACUGGGCGUAAAGGGCACGCAGGCGGUGACUUAAGUGAGGUGUGAAAGCCCCGGGCUUAACCUGGGAAUUGCAUUUCAUACUGGGUCGCUAGAGUACUUUAGGGAGGGGUAGAAUUCCACGUGUAGCGGUGAAAUGCGUAGAGAUGUGGAGGAAUACCGAAGGCGAAGGCAGCCCCUUGGGAAUGUACUGACGCUCAUGUGCGAAAGCGUGGGGAGCAAACAGGAUUAGAUACCCUGGUAGUCCACGCUGUAAACGAUGUCGAUUUGGGGGUUGAGCUUUGAGCUUGGCGCCCGUAGCUAACGUGAUAAAUCGACCGCCUGGGGAGUACGGCCGCAAGGUUAAAACUCAAAUGAAUUGACGGGGGCCCGCACAAGCGGUGGAGCAUGUGGUUUAAUUCGAUGCAACGCGAGGAACCUUACCCGGGCUUGAA